UACAGAGGGUGCAAGCGUUAAUCGGAUUUACUGGGCGUAAAGGGCGCGUAGGUGGUUGCGUAAGUGAGAUGUGAAAUCCCCGGGCUUAACCUGGGAACUGCAUUUGUGACUGCAUCGCUGGAGUGCGGCAGAGGGGGAUGGAAUUCCGCGUGUAGCAGUGAAAUGCGUAGAUAUGCGGAGGAACACCGAUGGCGAAGGCAAUCCCCUGGGCCUGCACUGACGCUCAUGCACGAAAGCGUGGGGAGCAAACAGG
rnacentral:rRNA from 1 species